rnacentral:rRNA from 1 species
AGUUUGAUCCUGGCUCAGAUUGAACGCUGGCGGCAUGCUUUACACAUGCAAGUCGAACGGCAGCGCGGGGCAACCUGGCGGCGAGUGGCGAACGGGUGAGUAAUAUAUCGGAACGUACCCAAGAGUGGGGGAUAACGUAGCGGAAGUUACGCUAAUACCGCAUACGAUCUACGGAUGAAAGUGGGGGAUUCGCAAGAACCUCAUGCUCCUGGAGCGGCCGAUAUCUGAUUAGCUAGUUGGUGAGGUAAAGGCUCACCAAGGCGACGAUCAGUAGCUGGUCUGAGAGGACGACCAGCCACACUGGAACUGAGACACGGUCCAGACUCCUACGGGAGGCAGCAGUGGGGAAUAUUGGACAAUGGGCGAAAGCCUGAUCCAGCCAUGCCGCGUGUGUGAAGAAGGUCUUCGGAUUGUAAAGCACUUUAAGUUGGGAGGAAGGGUUGUAGAUUAAUACUCUGCAAUUUUGACGUUACCGACAGAAUAAGCACCGGCUAACUCUGUGCCAGCAGCCGCGGUAA